GCCUCUUUAGCUCAGUUGGUAGAGCGACGCAUUCGUAAUGCGUAGGUCGUGGGUUCAAGUCCCUUAAGAGGCU
rnacentral:tRNA from 1 species